rnacentral:tRNA from 1 species
CCCGUGGUGGCACAGUGGGUCAGUGCAUCUGGAUGUUAACCAGAAGGUUGGUGGUUUAAGCCCACCCAAGAAUGGCUGUGGGC